rnacentral:rRNA from 1 species
GCUCCCUCCGCGCCGACUCUAGAUCUACGGAGGGCAGCAGUGGGGAAUAUUGGACAAUGGGCGCAAGCCUGAUCCAGCAAUGCCGCGUGUGUGAAGAAGGCCUUCGGGUUGUAAAGCACUUUUAUCGGGAGCGAAAUACUAUCGGCUAAUAACCGGUGGGGCUGACGGUACCCGAGGAAUAAGCACCGGCUAACUUCGUGCCAGCCGCCGCGGUAAUAC